UGGAAGUACGAUUUCUGAUUAAAUCUUUUAUAUACUGUAGGCGCUGCGAAUAAUACAUGAUAAAGAGUUUUGUCUUGAUGUGGCUGAGAUAGCUCCAUACCCUCUCCGACCCAAGUACAACCUUGCAGAGAAGCUUUGGUCGAAGGUAGAAAGCUUUCUGAUAGUAGAAGAAGAAGAGGAAGAGGAAGAGGAAGAAGAUGAUUUGGAGACUAAACCGAAACAGGAGGUACCUGUGAUUGGCGGAUUCUGCAGUAAGAAGAUUAUCUUCUCUUACUGAUAGAAGAAGAAGAUGAUGAUGAUGAUUUGGAGACCAAAUUAAAUAUGAAGAUACAUGAGGUACCUACGAAGGGCGGAUUCUGUGGUAAGAAAGGUUAUCUUCUCUUACGACUACGACUGAUAGAAGAUGCUCUUUGGUGUUUCUAACUUGUGUGAUACAAUACAACUUUAUUUUUUUAUUACUUCGGUUUUUGUUUGAACUUACGUUAAACUAUGCUUAAUUAUGAAUGGUUUGUUGUAAAAAUCA